rnacentral:rRNA from 1 species
CCCUUGAGUAUUAUACUUUUGUUGCUUUGGCGGGCCGCCUAGGCUGCCGGCUUCGGCUGGUGAGUGCCCGCCAGAGGACCCAAAACUCUGAAUUUAGUGUUGUCCGAGUACUAUAUAAUAGCUAAAACUUUCAACAACGGAUCUCUUGGUUCUGGCAUCGAUGAAGAACGCAGCGAAAUGCGAUAAGUAAUGUGAAUUGCAGAAUUCAGUGAAUCAUCGAAUCUUUGAACGCACAUUGCGCCCCUUGGUAUUCCGGGGGGCAUGCCUGUUCGAGCGUCAUCAAAACCCUCAAGCUCAGCUUGGUGUUGGGGCCUACCUCUUGGUAGCCCUUAAAAUCAGUGGCGGUGCCAUCUAGCUCUAAGCGUAGUAAUUCUUCUCGCUACAGGGUCCUGGUGGAUACUUGCCAACAACCCCUAAUAUUCUAUGGUUUGACCUCGGAUCAGGUAGGGAUACCCGCUGAACUUAAGCAUAUCAAUAA